AACGAACGCUGGCGGCAGGCUUAACACAUGCAAGUCGAACGCAUCCUUCGGGGUGAGUGGCAGACGGGUGAGUAACGCGUGGGAACGUGCCCUUCAGUUCGGGAUAACCCAGGGAAACUUGGGCUAAUACCGGAUACGUGCGAGAGCAGAAAGAUUUCUCGCUGAAGGAUCGGCCCGCGUCGGAUUAGCUAGGUGGGGGGGUAAUGGCCCACCAAGGCGACGAUCAGUAGCUGGUCUGAGAGGAUGAUCAGCCACAUUGGGACUGAGACACGGCCCAAACUCCGCCGGGAGGCAGCAGUGGGGAAUAUUGGACAAUGGGCGCAAGCCUGAUCCAGCCAUGCCGCGUGAGUGAUGAAGGCCUUAGGGUUGUAAAGCUCUUUCGUCCGGGACGAUAAUGACGGUACCGGAAGAAGAAGCCCCGGCUAACUUCGUGCCAGCCGCCGCCGUAAUAC
rnacentral:rRNA from 1 species